rnacentral:lncRNA from 1 species
AGAAGUUGAGUGCCUGCUGUAGGUGUAGGAGAGAAGUCCUGUGGUCGGAAGCUCUGCAAAGAAGCAGCCCACUUCCAGCUCCUGCAGGGUGGCUGGAGUAAAGUUUUGGUUACAAAGACACAAUUACUGCUCUGAAGGAAUGAUGAAAGGUGCUUUGACGUGGAGGUUACCACAACGGCUUCAUUAUGGGAAAGAAAUGAGAAGCUGCACUGAGUUACCAUCUACCAUGUUUUAGCCACAUCCUGCAGUGGAACUUGACCAUGAGAGCCAGCCUGAUAUGUGGUUUGUUAUUUUGUUGUUUUGUUUUCUUACGAUCCCUGAAGUUCCAUUUUAAGAAAUUAUCAUACUAAGCACAGACCUCAGUCUUCAUGGGUCUGCUGAUGUGGGCGUGCAAUGUCUUCAGUCUCUUAUGGUGUUGAGCAUUCCAGAAAGAGGCUAAGUUAGGAUGUUUGGUUUUUCUGAGGACAUGUUAGAUGAAGGUACAAACUGUCCAGGAAAUGAGAUAGAACUAUGUUUUUACGAAGGUAUGAAUUGAGGAUGAUCUUCAUGGGCACAAGAGAAGCAUUUGGGAUUUCAAAGCACCAUGUCCUAAUGUUCUAGAUGGAUUGGUAUUCAACCAUAUGAAUAGGCCAUGCUGAAUAUAACUUUCAGAUAAGGUAUUCACAUAUAUACGUUCUUAUCCCGAAGUAGGUGUUUCUGCGCCCAUUGGUUGAUAAUAUUACAUGUUAUGCAAAAAUAUUUUGCAACUACAGUACAUAGUGCACAUUUAUGCACUCAUAUCUCCUGCUAUUCAUAUCUGAGUACCUAUUUGUGAAGUCAGGGAGACAUGAACACUGGCACAAGACUCGUGCUUAAGUAGUCAUAAGUGGUCAUAUAGAUAUAUACAUUCCUUCUUUAACUAAAAGCUUGCUCAGCGCUGUUGAAGUCUGCAGCAACUCAUGUUGUCAGAGUGGGAACAGCCACAGAUACUGAUCUCCCAAACCGUCCCUUUCACUGUAAUGGACUCUCAGUGAUGACAACUGUUUUUUGUGUUGUUUCUUCUUCUUUUUUUUUUUCUUGAGUUCACUGCUAGAAUGUGCUGAUCUUUACAAAGCUCAGUCUCCCAGUAAUAAUACAUAUUCUUUGAAAGGAGGCAGAAGGAUAAAAAAAAACAGCAGAAUCCAGAAUCAGAUUAAUGUAAUGUGUAUUUCCAUCUUAUGAUUACUAACAAGAUGGCAUGUUGGCAUGUUAACACUUGAAGUUUAACUACAAGUUUUUAAAAUGAAGCAAUGACAUGUGCGUAGCUUUCUCUCCCUUUGCAUACAAUCCACCAGAAAACAUGCAUCAUUCCCACAGUACUCAGGCAAUUAAACCCUACUACUUACUUUUGAAUUAAGUGUUGAACUAAAACAUCAUGCUUCUUUCCUCGCAUUUAUGCAUAAUCUCCCACCAUGAAUUAUAAAUAUUGAUAAUGAACCCAUCCAUUUUGUA